CACGCUUCCGUGGAAAUGCUUGCUCCAAACCUUGAAGUCCGCCCGUGGUUUUGCAGACAAUCGCGAAACCACAUUUUCAUCAACAGGUGCCCACACAGCCAGCGAGGGCUCGCAGUUGUUUUGUAGUGUGUUUGCCAACUUGAACCACAGAAUGUGAUGACUGCUGGCUCUCUGAGGCGUUAGCUGAGGCAUUACCAUCACUGUGGUGAUGUGCUGGAUGUUCCUCCACCCCACAGAGAGGGAAGAAAAGGCCGACCAGUGCCUAGAGAGAAAAUCCUGCUGCAGUCAAACGGCUUUGUGUGAUCUCUUGAAGAAGAAAGACUAUUUUUAUAUGCUAGCCCUCACCUAUCAAGGGUUGCUGGCCUGGAUACGCCCACACUUCAUUGGUCACGAUGGAUCAUCUCUCUGAGAAGUGACAGAUUGUCCCACAGCACCAGCGUGGCUUUGUUGCACUUACAAACACAAGGUUUUCUCUCAAAGUGCCUUCCCAAGUCGAAGACACAUCUUGGAAAUGUCUUUGUUGCCAUCCCAUUGCUCCUUAUAAUUCAUUACUGAUGGAGUCUGUCUUGUUCUUUUCUGGCUUCCUCCAUGUUAGGUCCUCUUUGGCUUUGGGCCUGAAUCCAUGGGGGUUUUUUUUUGGUGGUGUUUUUUUUUGGUUUUUUUUUUUUUUUUUACAAGGGGUUUAAGAGAAUGGGAUUAUCUCCCAUGACAAGGCUUUUUACACACCAUGCUGAUAAGAAUGACAAAAACAUAUGAAAAAAUAAAUUGGCCAACAGCUUUUCCUUGUAUUUUAGUCAUGUUUUUUUUAUAUCUCUGGUACCAAUAGCUCCCACAUUUCCCUCACAGUUAGGUGAUGACCUCCAGAGUCACCAAUACCAAAAGCUUUUUGGUUUCAUUUGGCUGAAGGCACUGCUGAACUUUACUAUUACCACCAAUAUUUCCCUGUGAGUGCUUCUGCAAUAACUGUGAUUCACAAGCACAUGGAAGAACACUGGAGAGCUGGAAAACUACUAUCUAUGAAGAAAAUUAGAAGAAAAAUUUCUGCCUUGAAAUGAAUUUAUUGGAUUCCUGUCUUCCUCAGAUAUACAGAUUGAGCCUUAACUACACAGAGGAGUUUUUUAUUGUUUCUGUCAAGGAGGAUGGAGUAAGGAUUCUGAUUGAAUAAAUGAUGUGUGUGAGGCAUGUCUGAUGACUAGCAAUCAUUGAUUUACCCAGCUUUAGUUUUCAAACACUGCAAUUGUUUCCCUAUUUUGUGUCCACUGUCUCUGAAACUAUAUUAUAUGUAAGUACUCUGAAUAUUUUAUAUUGCCAUGCUUCUUUUUCCUCAGGUUUCUCCCUCUCUUCUUUGAUCAGCAUUGUAAUGGCCUGGGC
ensembl:lncRNA